UGAGAUCCGUGCUGUGGGGGUCAGCAAAGGCCUCGGGCUGUAGAUGGGACAUCAGUAGCCACCAGGUGUUUGAAGGGAGGAAAAAAGUUUCCUCAGGGUCUGUAGAAUGGGCAAGAACCUGGGCGGAACAGCCACCUUCCAUCCCUGCCAGUAGAUUGGGGAAGGGUCCCUAGAGCUUUUGAUAUAGUAAUCCCAAUUCCAACAGGAAACCUACCUAGCUGAUUGAAAAUAGAACCCUUGGUCCUUCUCCCUGAGUUCUUUUUGUUGUUGUUCAAGACAGGGUUUUACUGUGUAGCCCUGGCUAUCCUGGAACUCACAGAGAUCCACCUGCCUCUGUCUCCUGAGAGCUGGGAUUACAGGAGCGAUUUUUAAUCCCCAGCAAGGCAAAAUUCUCUUUACUUCAUCAAACAUUUCAAGCAUUGGCUGUCCUGGAUUCACUUUGUAGACCAGGCUGACCUCAAGAACUCACAGAGAUCUG